UACGUAGGGGGCAAGCGUUAUCCGGAUUUACUGGGUGUAAAGGGGGCGCAGACGGCGAUGCAAGCCAGGAGUGAAAGCCCGGGGCCCAACCCCGGGACUGCUCUUGGAACUGCGUGGCUGGAGUGCAGGGGGGCAGGCGGAAUUCCUGGUGUAGCGGUGAAAUGCGUAGAUAUCAGGAGGAACACCGGUGGCGAAGGCGGCCUGCUGGACUGCAACUGACGUUGAGGCCCGAAAGCGUGGGGAGCAAACAGG
rnacentral:rRNA from 1 species